GCCACUAUAGUUUAUGUAAAACAUUACAUUUUCAUUGUAAAAAUAAAAUUUUAUUUUUUAGUAGUA
rnacentral:tRNA from 1 species